GUGGGGAAUAUUGCACAAUGGGGGAAACCCUGAUGCAGCAACGCCGCGUGAGUGAUGACGGCCUUCGGAUUGUAAAGCUCUGUCUUUAGGGACGAUAAUGACGGUACCUAAGGAGGAAGCCACGGCUAACUACGUGCCAGCAGCCGCGGUAAUACGUAGGUGGCAAGCGUUGUCCGGAUUUACUGGGCGUAAAGGGAGCGUAGGCGGAUACUUAAGUGGGAUGUGAAAUACCUGGGCUUAACUUGGGUGCUGCAUUCCAAACUGGGUGUCUAGAGUGUUGGAGAGGAAAGUGGAAUUCCUAGUGUAGCGGUGAAAUGCGUAGAGAUUAGGAAGAACACCAGUGGCGAAGGCGACUUUCUGGACAAUAACUGACGCUGAGGCUCGAAAGCGUGGGGAGCAAACAGGAUUAGAUACCCUAGUAGUCC
rnacentral:rRNA from 1 species